rnacentral:rRNA from 1 species
UACGGAGGAUCCGAGCGUUAUCCGGAUUUAUUGGGUUUAAAGGGUGCGUAGGCGGUUUGAUAAGUUAGAGGUGAAAUGUCGGGGCUCAACCCCGAAACUGCCUCUAAUACUGUUGGACUAGAGAAUAGUCGCGGUAGGCGGAAUGUAUGGUGUAGCGGUGAAAUGCUUAGAGAUCAUACAGAACACCGAUUGCGAAGGCAGCUUACCAAACCAUAUCUGACGUUGAGGCACGAAAGCGUGGGUAGCAAACAGG